rnacentral:lncRNA from 1 species
GAUUAAUUAGCAAGUACACAAAUUAGUACAACUAGAACUGGUUUAUAAUUUCAUGAUUAGCCUUUAGAGCCUUUCAAAUAGAAACUGGGAUUGUUAAGAGUCCACAGUUUUAACAUAAUAAAAUGAAAGGAAGCAUAGUAUGUACAGCUAUAACUAAGUUAGAAGAAAGAAAAGAUACAGCAACAUCAGAGGAGACCCACGAGAGUAGCAGUCAUUUAAAGAUGACUAA